rnacentral:lncRNA from 1 species
CCCUUCGUAAUUAAAAAGACAAAACUAGUAACUAGCUUCUAAGGAAAUACGAAUAAUAAUAAUAAUAAUAAUAAUAGUAGUAGUAGUAGUAGUAGUAGUAGUAAUAUACAGGAACCUUUAAACAAGGCAUAAGCUUAAUAGUUAUAGUUCUAAUUUAUUAGGAGUCCAAACAUAGCCUGCAAUGCCAUCUUGGCUUUAAUAGGCCUUUCAACUGCACCUCUGGCAUAUAGCCUGAAUUGGAACUAUGACUACCAUAUUAUGCUUUGUAACCUUAAUACCAUUGGGUGAUUAGAUUCUUGGUUACAUACUUUGCGCCAUAUUAUACUAGUAACUUAAUAACUUAUAGUUCAAUGUAAAGUAUUUAGCCUACAUUUAGGCUAAUAUAAAGUAAAGGUAAUAAAAUAAAUAAUUAAAAAUAAAAAUUUAAAGUACCAUAAUAUAAAUGAGCGUGACCAGUGUCUUCUGGGAACUAUGCAAACUUUUAUUUAAAAGAUGGAAAUUUUACAAAUGGAGAGUAAUAAUGUAAGGUGGUUUCUAAAAAACCUGCCUUCUAAUACUGAAGAUGAGAUCCUUUUAUAGAGGAUUCUCGUUACAAAAUAAAAAAUUAAAUUGUGGCAUGACUAUUAACAACUUUAUAAAAGCUACUUUAUUAAAGCUGCUUUAUAAAAUUUAUCUUCAGAUGCUAUUAUCCCCAAUAAUUCAUAUUGGGGGAUCUUGUGUUUAUUACAAACUUAUCCCUUUUCCUUUGUUUUUUGCUGACGUGGAAGAUUCUUCUAAUUUUUCUUUGAAUUUUUAAAGGUAUUCGUCAAGAUCAAUUUCAUCAUUACUCUGGAUGCUUUGUGAUUCUGAUGCUAAGAAAUCCUCUUAGUUGUCACUGGUAUGACCAGCAGAUGCUAUGGAAAUGUAUGAUGCAUUUUCCAUAAUCAGAUUUCUCAUUAAAUCUUUCUUGACUUCCUCCAUGUAUGAAGCUAUUAUCUAUGACAUGGAUAUGAUUAUUUUCUUCAUCUGAAGUCUCCAAUUGAUACUUUUGAAAAGACUAAUAUCAACUUUUCCUUAUGAUGGUGUCAUAUCUCGCUGUUCUUUGUAUUUAGCAAUGGCUUCUUUGAUUGAAUCGAUUAUUCCUUGUUCAUGUAUAUGUCCAUCUGUUGUCUUCUGAUUUAAUUUAUUCCUGAAUUUUGUAUAAAAAAUUCUUUUGAGGCAUUGAAAAUUAUAAGAUUUGGCUUCACUUCCACAGACCAUUUCAUUUUCCAUGGAAUAAAAAACUCAACAAAGAAAUACAUGGUAGAAAUUUCUUUAAAAUAAAUAUUAUCUUUUUUCUAAUAUUAUUAAUUUUGGAGAUAUGUCUAACCAUUCAGUUUAUAAAUCUUUAAAUGGUUCUGGUAAAUUUUUUACUGAUAGUCCAUAAUAAAUUCACGAUUGACCAAACCAAUUAGGAAUAUUCUGGUUGAAAAUAUUUCCACCAAUUUUUAUGAGCCAAGAAUACUUCCUGCGAGGAUUUUCAUACAGCGAGGCUUAUUAAAGCCUUCAACAUAAUCCCAGUAAUUGAAUUUUGCUGAAAUCUUUUGUUCAGGAUCAAAAUAAUCCUUUUCUUUA